rnacentral:rRNA from 1 species
AACGAACGCUGGCGGCAGGCCUAACACAUGCAAGUCGAGCGGACCCUUCGGGGUUAGCGGCGGACGGGUGAGUAACGCGUGGGAACGUGCCCUUUGCUUCGGAAUAGCCCUGGGAAACUGGGAGUAAUACCGGAUACGCCCUUUUGGGGAAAGAUUUAUCGGCGAAGGAUCGGCCCGCGUUGGAUUAGGUAGUUGGUGGGGUAAUGGCCUACCAAGCCGACGAUCCAUAGCUGGUUUGAGAGGAUGAUCAGCCACACUGGGACUGAGACACGGCCCAGACUCCUACGGGAGGCAGCAGUGGGGAAUCUUAGACAAUGGGGGAAACCCUGAUCUAGCCAUGCCGCGUGAGCGAUGAAGGCCUUAGGGUUGUAAAGCUCUUUCACCGGGGAAGAUAAUGACGGUACCCGGAGAAGAAGCCCCGGCUGACUCCGUG